AUUGAACGCUGGCGGCAUGCCUUACACAUGCAAGUCGAACGGUAACAGGUCUUCGGAUGCUGACGAGUGGCGAACGGGUGAGUAAUACAUCGGAACGUGCCCGAUCGUGGGGGAUAACGCAGCGAAAGCUGUGCUAAUACCGCAUACGAUCUACGGAUGAAAGCGGGGGAUCGCAAGACCUCGCGCGGACGGAGCGGCCGAUGGCAGAUUAGGUAGUUGGUGGGAUAAAAGCUUACCAAGCCGACGAUCUGUAGCUGGUCUGAGAGGACGACCAGCCACACUGGGACUGAGACACGGCCCAGACUCCUACGGGAGGCAGCAGUGGGGGAAUUUUGUACGAAUAGGCGGCGAA
rnacentral:rRNA from 1 species